GGCCAUAUAGCUCAGUGGUAGAGCAUCUGCAUUGCUUGCAGAAAGCUCAGGUUCAAUCUCUGGUAUCUCCA